rnacentral:lncRNA from 1 species
AUGGUGGGUGCUGCCGCUGCUGACACUGCUGCUGGGAUUGGCUGCUUGUUGCUGCUGCAGGCUAUGACACUGAUGGUACUGGGGGUACUGGUGGGGCUCUCUGGACGAGCCGGCAUGGCUAGAGGGGGUGAGCUCGCUGAUAUUCAACUGGCUACUCUGCCGGGAGGAGGCGGAGAUGGAGAGCGGCGAGAACCGAGUCCUGAAGGCGCCCGAGAGGGGCGAAGAAAUGCGGAGCAGCGAGGGCAGGUUAUCCCCCGCUGCUACCGCAGCGGCUCCAUAGUAGGAGCAGUUGUUGCACUGGAGGCAUGGGUUCUGCUGCUGCUGCUGCUGGAGAAGACUCUGCUUGUCCUGGCCGUGUCGCUGCUGCUGCUCGGAGCAGAAGCCCGUCUGAAACUGCAAUGGUGUUUGCAUGUCAGAGACGUUAAAGCCGCAGGAGGACCAGGUGGUGGUGGUGAUGGUGGUGCACCCUGCGCAAUGCGUUACGGUCGGCAGGGAAGAGUCCUGCUGCCGCCACGAAGGGCCCAUCCCGGCUUCCGUAGAAUCCAGCCGCUGAGUCCGAUUGGUCGGGCGGACCAAAACAAGGAGCAUCUCGUCGGGGGAGACCGGCUGCGGCGUGAGGCGGCGGAGAGAUCCCCCAUCCGCCCUGCCCCCUCCCGCGCGGGGAUCCCGUCUCUCACCGCUCCCGCAGUCCAUGCCUCAGUUGCCACAAGCAGUGACCCUGACGUGAUGGUCAAUAAGCCGCGGACAAUAGAGCGGUUGGUGACGACGCCCAGCUGAACUCAAGAAAGCAACGGUACAGAGAGCUGUUAGGUCCAGACCUCAUCACCUCUACAGGUGAGCAGCUGGGGACGAUAUGGGUUCCAUAUUGAUAUCCAGUAUAAUAAUGGAAAUACUAGAAAGGAGAGGGGUAAAGUAUGAGGAAGCAGCCGUGAAACUUUUGCUUGCCUGGCUGCGGCGGAUGCCANUAUUUUUCUGUGUUAAAAUGCUGUUAUUGAAAAUGGUCAACCAAGCCUGUGUCGCCCAAAAUAAAAACAGGAGAAUUGUGGAUAACUGGCUAGCUGAAAAAGUUCACAUAGACAUAGUCCAGCUGGCUGGACAAAAAUGCACAUCGCUCUCAGCUUAUCUGAAGUAAAGCAAAAAUACACUAUCCUUGGCUGUUCUUGUUACACAAUAUCAGGAAGAUUGCGGUGGGAAAAGAAUGUUGCAGGUGGGAACAGGUAACUACAGAAGAGAAACUAGGGGCGGACUUGAUAUUUAGGCAACUAACCAAUAAUGAGCUUAACUUUUGUAAUAUGUAUGAGCUAAUUAUAACAAGGCAUAAAAGAUGACUGUAAGGCACAAUAAAUGAAGUCUGCUGAUCACUCAUAUUGAGUGACUGCGUCUUCCCUCCGUUGCGACAGAUAUCUGCUCCACUGUUAAUCUCCAUGGGCUGCAGGGGGGCAGCCUGUCUU